rnacentral:misc_RNA from 1 species
GGAGGGAUCAUUAACACGAAAUUCAUUUCUCGAACCGUUUCCCUUCAAAAGGGGGAUUCGGGGAGAGGAAAAAAAAAACUUGGCCAAUUUCGAGAGAGGAAUUUCCUUCCAAACUCGAAUUGGUCAUUUCCCCACAAAUGUGAAGUCAGUUUAAGUACCCACCCCUCAUGAGGUUCUCCUCAUGUAUUUCGGGGUGAGAUACUGUACGCAGGAAAUUUUUCUGGAAAAUUGUGCACCUCGGUCGCCCUCGUGCGACCUUAAAAGGGGGUCCAAGAUUCGAUUUUUGGACUCGAGAUUUUUUUUAAACCAUCUCCCCACAACUGUUAACAACGGAUAUCUUGGCUACCACUACGAUGACGAGCGCAGCGAAAGGCGAUACCUAGUGUGAAUUGCAGAACUAAGUGAGUCAUCAAGAUCUUGAACGCAAACUGCGCCUCUGGGCUAGCCCGGAGGCAUGCCUGUUUGAGUAUUGUUCAAUAACAACAAUCACCAAAAAAGGGGGUGUGUGUGUUUUUUUUCACACUCACCCUCUCUUUUGUUGGAUAUGGGAAUAAUCAUUUGUGAAUCUCUUCAACCAGAUUCUCUCCCAAAAGUAAAGUCGAGUUAAACAUUAAAAACGUGUGUGAUCCGGUUUGGAGAUAAAAAAAGACCACCUCUGUCGGGGUGGAAACCAUGCUGGUAGUGUCAAUUUAAGGUCCAAUUUUGGCCUCUCUCUCACUAUCAGUCCACUCAGGCAAGGAGGUCCCUCCAAAAAAAAAAAAAAAGAGGACCACAUCUCUUGUAAACAAUCUCUGACGGAGAAAAUAUAUACUCAAAUAAAAAUCUCGAUCUCAAAUCAGGCAUGAUCACCCGCCGAAUUUAAGCAUAUAACUAAGCGGAGGAGAAGAAACUAACGAGGAUUCCCCCAGUAACUGCGAGUGAAGAGGGAAGAGCUCAAGCCUAAAAUCUGGGUGGAUUGAAUUCCAUCCCGAAUUGUAAUCUAAGGGAGUGCACUCACGGGAGGGGGCGACUGGCCCAAAGUCCCCUGGAACGGGGCACCGCAGAGGGUGAUAGUCCCGUGCGGGUCACCUACCGUCCCCUCCGACACCUGUGUGCAUCCCCCAGAGUCGGGUUGUUUGAGAGUACAGCCUGAAAUGGGUGGUAAAUUCCAUCUAAAGCUAAAUACCAGGUGGUAGACCGAUAGCGAACAAGUACCGUGAGGGAAAGAUGCAAAGGACUCUGAAAAGAGAGUUAAAAGUACUUGAAAUUGUUGACAGGGAAACGAUGGUGGCCAGUGGAAUUGGGGGCACGUUGUUGAUCAGCUCCGACGUGCGUACUGGUGGUUGGGUGAGUUCUCGGAGUGGGGUUUUCCCCACCCACUCGCCCCCGCCUGGUGCGCACGGAGGGGUGCACUCUGCACGCGCUCCCGUGGUCGUGUGUCCGGAUGAGGUGCCGGCAGAAUGGCGCGGUGCAGGGGGACCGACUCGUCGGUUGUCUGGCACCGCGCAGAUGUCCGGCUACUCGGACACCUACAGUGGGGAGGCUCGAGCGUGGCGUUGCCCGGCCAUGCCGGUUGGGGUGGGUGGUGGACUGCAUGCAGUGCGCCGUCUCCCCGGCAGGUACCGGUCGGGCCGACCUACCUUCCCCCAUCGACCACGAAAUGGCCACCACCGACCCGUCUUGAAACACGGACCAAGGAGUCUAACGUACGUGCGAGUAUGAGGGUGAUCUGGAAACCCGAGUGCGGAGCGAAAGCGAUACACGGGUGGGAAGUGGAAAAGGUCUCGUCCUGGCCACCGCACCAUCGACCUAUGUGGAUUUGUCCACACUAGAGUGAGAGCACGUCCGUUAGGACCCGAAAGGUUGCGAACUAUGCCUGUAUAGGGUGAAGCCAGAAGAAAUUCUGGUGGAGGCUCGAAGCGAUACUGACGUGCAAAUCGUUCGUCAAAUAUGGGUAUAGCGGCGAAAGACUAAUCGAGCAACUUAGUAGCUGGUUCCCUC